rnacentral:rRNA from 1 species
GAAGGAGGAGCUUGCUUCUCUGGAUGAGUUGCGAACGGGUGAGUAACGCGUAGGUAACCUGCCUGGUAGCGGGGGAUAACUAUUGGAAACGAUAGCUAAUACCGCAUAAGAGUAGAUGUUGCAUGACAUUUACUUAAAAGGUGCAAUUGCAUCACUACCAGAUGGACCUGCGUUGUAUUAGCUAGUUGGUGGGGUAACGGCUCACCAAGGCGACGAUACAUAGCCGACCUGAGAGGGUGAUCGGCCACACUGGGACUGAGACACGGCCCAGACUCCUACGGGAGGCAGCAGUAGGGAAUCUUCGGCAAUGGACGGAAGUCUGACCGAGCAACGCCGCGUGAGUGAAGAAGGUUUUCGGAUCGUAAAGCUCUGUUGUAAGAGAAGAACGAGUGUGAGAGUGGAAAGUUCACACUGUGACGGUAUCUUACCAGAAAGGGACGGCUAACUACGUGCCAGCAGCCGCGGUAAUACGUAGGUCCCGAGCGUUGUCCGGAUUUAUUGGGCGUAAAGCGAGCGCAGGCGGUUAGAUAAGUCUGAAGUUAAAGGCUGUGGCUUAACCAUAGUACGCUUUGGAAACUGUUUAACUUGAGUGCAAGAGGGGAGAGUGGAAUUCCAUGUGUAGCGGUGAAAUGCGUAGAUAUAUGGAGGAACACCGGUGGCGAAAGCGGCUCU